AGCAAUGCAACCUUCUCCACCAGUACACUUGUCUCGGGAACUAGACCAGUUAAAUACCCAGACCAAAGAUUUAACCUUGUGUGGAAAGCCAUAGCCCCUAACAAAGUGAAACCCUUCCUCUGGUUAAUCACAGAAUUCCCCUAACAGAAUUCCUAGCAACAACUAUUUUAAUCACAUUGAUCUCAACAUCCCAACCCAAUUUCAGGACAUUGCUAGUGGAGAUAGAGGUAGCCCCUCCAACCCAAAUCUUAAGGGAACAAAAUGCAGUGGUGGAUCUGUUGGCAAAGACAGGAACUAAGACAACAUUCAUGGCAACACGACUGACUUUAUCCACCAUGUCAUCUUUUGUAAUUGAUUGUGUUGUAAUUGAUAGCUCCGGAACACUAUUUAAACCUACUGUUAGGAACUCUGCUACUAUUCUAUCGGGCUGGGAUGUGGCCCUGAAUAGUUUGAUUUUCGCUCCUACUUCUGAUAGGAGCACGAAGCCCUAUCUCUUUUAAUGCUAUAAACCAUGCCAGUUUCACCAACAAAGAACUUCAUUUUAUGACCCCAAAGCUCACAUGGCGACCACAUUCGGGUAGUCUGGACAGCACAAUCUUUUUUCGUGAGGAAGCAUUUUUCGCUCUAAAAUUUUGACUUGCAAGGCUGUUUUGUCGAGCUCCUUCAUCAUCUAAUUGACUUUACAUUGAA